UACGGAGGGUGCAAGCGUUAUCCGGAUUCACUGGGUUUAAAGGGUGCGUAGGUGGAUUGGUAAGUCAGUGGUGAAAUCUCCGGGCUUAACCCGGAAACUGCCAUUGGUACUAUCAGUCUUGAAUACCGUGGAGGUCAGUAGAAUAUGUCAUGUAGCGGUGAAAUGCUUAGAUAUGACAUAGAAUACCAAUUGCGAAGGCAGCUGGCUACACGAAUAUUGACACUCAGGCACGAAAAGCGUGGGGGAUCAAAACAGG
rnacentral:rRNA from 1 species